rnacentral:rRNA from 1 species
AGGACGAACGCUGGCGGCGUGCUUAACACAUGCAAGUCGAGCGGAAAGGCCCUUCGGGGUACUCGAGCGGCGAACGGGUGAGUAACACGUGAGCAAUCUGCCCUUAGCUUUGGGAUAGCCCCCGGGAAACCGGGAUUAAUACCGAAUAUGACCUCGGCCGACAUCGGCCUUGGUGGAAAGUUUUUCGGCUAGGGAUGAACUCGCGGCCUAUCAGCUUGUUGGUGGGGUAAUGGCCUACCAAGGCGACGACGGGUAGCCGGCCUGAGAGGGCGACCGGCCACACUGGGACUGAGACACGGCCCAGACUCCUACGGGAGGCAGCAGUGGGGAAUAUUGCGCAAUGGGCGAAAGCCUGACGCAGCGACGCCGCGUGGGGGAUGAAGGCCUUCGGGUUGUAAACCCCUUUCAGCAGGGACGAAGCGAGAGUGACGGUACCUGCAGAAGAAGCGCCGGCUAACUACGCGCCAGCAGCCGC